rnacentral:rRNA from 1 species
UACGUAGGGGGCUAGCGUUGUCCGGAAUCAUUGGGCGUAAAGCGCGCGUAGGCGGCCAGAUAAGUCCGGUGUGAAAGUCAAAGGCUCAACCUUUGAAUGCCGCUGGAAACUGCCUGGCUUGAGUCCGGAAGGGGCGAGUGGAAUUCCUGGUGUAGCGGUGAAAUGCGCAGAUAUCAGGAGGAACACCAAUGGCGAAGGCGGGUCUCUGGACAGUUCCUGACGCUGAGGCACGAAGGUCAGGGGAGCAAACGGG